UAGGGUCUGCGAUUGAGAGCUCGACCGGCGGCAGCUGCUAGGGCUAACGGACGGAUAAAGAGAGACGGGUGCGGUAGGUGGCAGACGGAGAAGCAAAAAGCCCGAUCUGCUGCUGCUGCUGCAAGAAGAGCGGCGUCGGUGGAGGAGAGGGGUGGUCUGCUCGUGCUCGGUGGAGGGGAGAAGGGUGCUCCGCCGCCCGAUCUGCUGCUGCGAGAAGAGCGGCGUCAGAGGCGACGCGAUGCAGGGUGGGUGGGAGCGAGAAGAACUAGGGCUCAACCUUUGCCCUAGCUAUAUGUUAGAGGAAAAUGGAGAGGCGAGGUCGCGGCGACCGAUGUCGCCGGAAGAGCGCGAAUAGCUACCAUUCGCCGGAACUUGCCUCGGCAGCGGCGGCGACUAUCUCUCAAAGAGGGAGAGAUCGCGAAGAGAGAGAGAGAGAUUUGGGGAAGAGAUGAGAGAUAGAAUACAAUAUUUUUAAAUUAUUUAAUUAAUAAAUUAAUUAUGAAAAUAAAAAAUUAAAUAGAAAUAAUAGCAUACAUAACUACUUUAGUUAACGGUUUCAAUAAUCGUUAUCUAAGAGUUACAAAAAUACGCACAUAGAUAACGGUCGGCUUAACGGUUUGUAAUACCGUUAUGUAUGUAACUAAUAGAUAACGCAAAAACAUAACGAAUUAAUUGAAACCGUUAUCUAUGCAUAUAGACAACACUACAUAAAUAACGAAUUUUUGCAAAACCGUUAUCUAUUCCUAAAAGUGCGCUCAUACAUAACGGUUUUUGAAAAAAACCGUUAUCUAUGCACUGUUAUGUAUGUAAACUUUUGUAGUAGUGUCUUUUCCCAUAACUCCAUGUUUCAAGUACCCAACUUUAAAUAAUUAUUUCUCACUCACCGGAAAUCGGUUUUGAGUAAAUAAAUAUACUACGAUCAUCUACUCGGAACGUAGAUCGAUCUUGUGCCAUUUAAUCUUCUAAAAUUAAUGUUUUCGAUACUCGAAAAAUUUCAAACAUUGGUUACUCACANUCCGUUAAACAAAAUACCUCUUAUUGCAUAAUUCUUCAAUAAGAAAUAUCGUUAGAUUAUGGAUAACAUCUAAAACCGGUGAGGAGAACCUUGAGCUAAGGAGGAACAUUCCCAUAACUGAGGUGUUUGAACAGUGGCUCAAUAUCAGUAAACCAGUUCUUCCUUUCAAUGGGAUUUCCAUUUUCCACAACCUAUAUCACAGAAAAAGAAUGAUAAGCAAGAAACAAAUGCCAACUGCAAUACCAUCACUGUAAUAAUAAAAAGCAAUAAAAUCAAUUAGUAUCACACACACUUAACUUAUUGAACAAAUUAGGCAAACAAAAAGAAAACCAUUUCCCCUACCGCUUCUCUGGUCUCAUCGUCUGUAGCAUUGUUUCUUCAAGUCCAGUGGUUUCCCAUCAAACACAUAGCUAUUGAGAAAAUAGAGAACACCUUACAAAGAGCUAUAAAAAUAGGAAACAUGAUACACGCAACACGAAUAGGAGGGAAUGAAAUAAGUUACACUGGUUUAAUUCCAAAAUUGUGAGUAGGGACAGAAUUAAGGGCCAUAAGAAAAUAACUUGAUACUCCAGCCUGGAGUUGAUAUUUUUCCUCAACCAGAAGUAUCAGUGUUCUCAUCCUCGUCAUCAUCCAGUUCUCGUAUCUUAGCAAUCUCAGCCUGCGCACGCUCAACAAUCUGCUUCUUCUGCAACUCCAAAUCCCUCUGAAAAUCCUGCCUUAUGGUCUCCAACUCUACCAUCCGUCCUCUCCCGCCCGCUCAUCUCCGCCACCCUUCUCCCAUCACGUCGACCCACGUCCUCCUGCCCUCCACGGCUCCGCCUACCGAGCUCCAUGUACCGCUUACCCCACCACCUCCAGCAGCACGAAGCUCUCGUCUUCGCUCCAUGCCUCGUUGCGCGGCGUGAAUUCGUAGUUGGAGAAUGUGAGAGAUAAUCCAAUAACAUAGAGAUAAUUCAGAUAACCGUAAGAAUGAAUUCAUUCUAUAUUGUUGAAUAGAGAAUGUGAGAGAUAAUCCCCUAGCAAACAAACAAUAGAGAAUGUGAGAGAUAAUCCAAUAACCGUUGGAGAAUUAUGUAUGAGAAUGUGUUUCAUUCUUACAAUUGAGGAUAAUCCAAUAACAGAGAGAUAAUUCAAAAACUUGAGCAAAAUAGCUUCACAAAAUUAAAAAAUUUGAGCAAAAUAGCUUCAGAUAAUUUAAAAAAUUCGAGCAAAAGCCCUAAUCUAAAUCAUAUUGUUACCAACAAAGUUCAAAAAUUAGGGAUUUGGAAUGAGAUUUGCGUAAGGGAUGUAUAAUUAGGGAUUCUACCUUGGUGGUGGCUAUUGUAGAAGGCGGCAGCGACAACGGCGGCUCCUAGGGUCUGCGAUUGAGAGCUUGACCGGCGGCAGCUGCUAGGGCUAACGGACGGAUAAAGAGAGACGGGUGCGGUAGGUGGCAGACGGAGAAGCAAAAAGCCCGAUCUGCUGCUGCUGCUGCUGCAAGAAGAGCGGCGUCGGUGGAGGAGAGGGGUGGUCUGCUCGUGCUCGGUGGAGGGGAGAAGGGUGCUCCGCCGCCCGAUCUGCUGCUGCGAGAAGAGCGGCGUCAGAGGC
rnacentral:lncRNA from 1 species